GACGAACGCUGGCGGCGUGCUUAACACAUGCAAGUCGAGCGGAGCGGCGAACGGGUGAGUAACGCGUGAGUAACUGCCCCCCUCUCUGGGAUAACAGUUGGAAACGGGUGCUAAUACCGGAUAGUGGGGGAUGACUCGCGUCCUAUCAGCUUGUUGGUGGGGUAGUGGCCUACCAAGGCGACGACGGGUCGCCGGCCUGAGAGGGCGACCGGCCAAAUUGGGGUGAGAUACGUCCAAAACUCCUACGGUGGGCAGCAGUGGGGAAUAUUGCACAAUGGGGGAAACCCUGAUGCAGCAACGCGCGUGCGCGAUGUCGGACUUCGGGUUGUAAACCGCUUUCAGCCAUGACGCGGUAUUGGCAGAAGAAGCACCGGCUAACUGCGUGCCAGCAGCCGCGGUAAUAC
rnacentral:rRNA from 1 species